AGAGUUUGAUCAUGGCUCAGGACGAACGCUGGCGGCGUGCUUAACACAUGCAAGUCGAGCGGUAAGGCUCCUUCGGGAGUACACGAGCGGCGAACGGGUGAGUAACACGUGAGCAAUCUUCCCUUCACUUUGGGAUAACCUCCGGAAACGGUGGCUAAUACCGAAUAUGACCACUUCACGCAUGUGAUGGUGGUGGAAAGUUCGCGGUGGAGGAUGAGCUCGCGGCCUAUCAGCUUGUUGGUGAGGUAAUGGCUCACCAAGGCUUCGACGGGUAGCCGGCCUGAGAGGGUGACCGGCCACACUGGGACUGAGACACGGCCCAGACUCCUACGGGAGGCAGCAGUGGGGAAUAUUGGACAAUGGGCGAAAGCCUGAUCCAGCAACGCCGCGUGAGGGAUGACGGCCUUCGGGUUGUAAACCUCUUUCAGUACCGACGAAGCGAAAGUGACGGUAGGUACAGAAGAAGGACCGGCCAACUACGUGCCAGCAGCCGCGGUAAUACGUAGGGUCCGAGCGUUGUCCGGAAUUAUUGGGCGUAAAGGGCUCGUAGGCGGUUUGUCGCGUCGGGAGUGAAAACACGGGGCUUAACCCCGUGCCUGCUUCCGAUACGGGCAGACUAGAGGUAUGCAGGGGAGAACGGAAUUCCUGGUGUAGCGGUGAAAUACGCAGAUAUCAGGAGGAACACCGGUGGCGAAGGCGGUUCUCUGGGCAUUACCUGACGCUGAGGAGCGAAAGUGUGGGGAGCGAACAGGAUUAGAUACCCUGGUAGUCCACGCCGUAAACGAUGGGUACUAGGUGUCGCGGGUAUUGACCCCUGCGGUGCCGAAGCUAACGCAUUAAGUACCCCGCCUGGGGAGUACGGUCGCAAGACUAAACUCAAUGA
rnacentral:rRNA from 1 species